GAGACGACGAACACUUGCAGUUAUGCGAACCCGUCCUGUGGGAACCGCUUUUGCCUUCUUUUUUGUGCUUGACGCGGCGGUUCUGGAACCAGAUCUUGACUUGCUUCUCGGACAGGUUGAGGUGCAGCUUGUGCGAGAGAGAAACGGAGGCCCUUCGCCUCUCCCACCUCUUCAUGCUGCUCAAGCGCAAAAUAAGAGGGGUGUGAAAGGGAGCACUCCAAAAAGCCAUCACCUGCUCCAGUCUGUCCAGACACUCCCUCCCAUCAGAACAACAACCAUCAGUCUCUGGACCUCAGACCGACGACCCGCACGUGAUGGACGAAGACAAACAAGAGAAAAUUAAGAUGGGACAAAACAAGUCCAUUAACGGAAGUCGCGCCACUCGGCGGCCAUGUUUUCGACGCCCCGGACAGCUAUUUACGUCAUAGACGUCUCUUUGAAACUCAAACCAUGCUGAUCAUGCCGUACCCACAGCCUCCGGUGUGACCUGUGACCUCAGCUUCUUUACACUUCCUGUGCCGAGCGCUCUGAUGGAGGGAUGCACCUGCGGAUGGGCAGGUGACAGAGGAAUUCUGGGAGAAACGGAGUCUUAGAAAUGUAGAAGCUUUACUCUGACACAAAGUUUAAAGCCAUUGAGAACAGCAAAGAUUAGAGGCUCUUUGUACCCAUCAGCGUUAAACAAAUUAAUCUAUUGCUGUUCAGCUGACUGUAAAAUCUCUAGAUUUACUGUUUCUAUGAAGCCAUGGCCCGCUCGACCC